GAUGAACGCUAGCUACAGGCUUAACACAUGCAAGUCGCGGGGCAGCAUGGGGGUUGCUUGCAACCCCUGAUGGCGACCGGCGCACGGGUGAGUAACGCGUAUCCAACCUGCCCUUCACCACGGGAUAACCCGGCGAAAGUCGGACUAAUACCGUAUGUUGUCCAUUGACGGCAUCCGCUUUGGGCGAAAGGGUUGGCGGCGAGAGGAUGGGGAUGCGUCCGAUUAGCUUGAGGGCGGUGUAACGGCCCACCGUUGCUACGAUCGGUAGGGGUUCUGGGAGGAAGGUCCCCUACACUGGAGCUGAGGCACGGUCCAGAAUCCUACGGGAGGCAGCAGUGAGGAAUAUUGGUCAAUGGGCGUAAGCCUGAACCAGCCAAGUAGCGUGCAGGAUGACGGCCCUAUGGGUUGUAAACUGCUUUUAUGCGGGGAUAAAGUGGCCCACGUGUGGGCUUUUGCAGGUACCGAAUGAAUAAGGACCGGCUAAUUCCGUG
rnacentral:rRNA from 1 species